rnacentral:rRNA from 1 species
AACGAACGCUGGCGGCGUGGAUAAGACAUGCAAGUCGAACGGGAUUGGCGGUAGCAAUAUUGCCAGUUCAGUGGCGAACGGGUGCGUAACACGUGGGCUACAUGCCCGAAAGUGGGGGAUAGCCCGGGGAAACUCGGAUUAAUACCGCAUACGUUGUAUUCAAAACAUUUUGAUUUCAACAAAGGCAGGGACCGCAAGGCCUGCCGCUUUUGGAUUGGCCCGCGCCCUAUCAGCUUGUUGGUGAGGUAACGGCUCACCAAGGCUACGACGGGUAGCUGGUCUGAGAGGACGACCAGCCACACUGGAACUGAGACACGGUCCAGACACCUACGGGUGGCAGUAGUCGAGAAUCUUUCACAAUGGGGGAAACCCUGAUGGAGCGACGCCGCGUGGAGGAUGAAGGUCUUCGGAUUGUAAACUCCUGUCAUGAAAGAACAAGUUGAUUGUGUUAACAGCGCGAUUGAUCGAUAGUAUUUCAAGAGGAAGGGACGGCUAACUUCGUGCCAGCCGCCGCCGUAA